CCUACGGGAGGCAGCAGUGGGGAAUAUUGCACAAUGGGGGGAACCCUGAUGCAGCGACGCCGCGUGGGUGAGGAAGUACUUCGGUAUGUAAAGCCCUAUCAGCAGGGAAGAAAAUGACGGUCCCUGACUAAGAAGCCCCGGCUAACUACGUGCCAGCAGCCGCGGUAAUACGUAGGGGGCAAGCGUUAUCCGGAUUUACUGGGUGUAAAGGGAGCGUAGACGGCGUGCCAAGUCUGGUGUGAAAGGCCGGGGCUCAACCCCGGGACUGCAUUGGAAACUGGCAUGCUGGAGUGCAGGAGGGGGAAGCGGAAUUCCUAGUGUAGCGGUGAAAUGCGUAGAUAUUAGGAGGAACACCGGUGGUGAAGGCGGCUUGCUGGACGGUAACUGACGUUGAGGCUCGAAAGCGUGGGGAGCAAACAGGAUUAGAUACCCGGGUAGUC
rnacentral:rRNA from 1 species